CCCCAGACUUCAGCUGUGAGUCUGUGGUCCUGCCCACCCCCCCAGCCGUCAACUGUGUCUGUGGUCCUCCCUGCUCCUAGACUUAGGCUAUGAGUCUGUGGUCCUGCCUCGUCGGCAGAGGCUAUGGCUCUCAUGUCGCUCCAACCCAGGUACCGUCCUUGUCUGCAUGGGGCAGUGGAUGCUCCUGUGUGUGAGGGUUUGGCCACGGCAGGCAGUUUCUCUGCAGCCAGGAGGACCACUGUCUGCCUCAGAGAGCAAUUGCUGUAGGACACACAGGACUACCAGCGUCUCCAAACUUGGAUCCACUCACCAGAUGCACAGCAAACCAGUCCACUGACACGAGGCUGUGAGCUGGCUCCUGUCACAUCCUGGCGUGGCCCUGCACCCCCCUCGCGUGCUCCAGCCUGGGUUCCUGCUGCAGGCCUUCCAGCCCCGAGGAAGAGGCGGCGGCACAGCAGAGGACAGGCUCUGUGAACUAUCGAGCCGCUGGGGACUGCGGCGCCUCCUGCUCACGGUGUUGCUCAGCCGUCGUGGUCCCCCCAGCCUCCCGGGCAAGCGCCAGCACGUGCUGUCAGCCCUGAACGCCCGAGGGUGACGGGAGCUGUCCCUCGAGCGCUGGCUCCGUCUGUGGAAGGUGGAGGGGACCCUCAUGCAGACAGGCUCUGGGUGCGGCCGUGUGGACUUGGUUCACUGGUCCCUUUUGGCUCACGCCCCUCUCCGUCUCAGAAGACGGGGACGGGGGUCAGGUGGUCUCAGGAGGACUCAUGUCCAUUGGCCUCCGUGCUGGCUCCCGUGGCCCUAGACCUACGCUUGCAGGUCUCACUGUUGAGAUGUCCAGAGACUUCCAUCUGUGCACAGCCUUCAGGUUGCUUUCUCAGUGCCCACACUCACCCAAACUGUGGAGUCCCCACUGAGGAAUCCCGUGUGAUCUCAGGAGUGGCAUGUUCGCCACAGGGACGCCCGCCUGGCAAGCAGCCUCUGUCUCCACAGAGAUUCUCCACCUGAGAGGUGAUUGAGUCACUGGGGGAUGCCUUAGGAUGUGGCCGCAGGUCUGGAGCCGCGAUUCCGCAUUUCUGGGGCCGCACCUGGAGAGGAGGAGUUUGUGCUUGUAAGCUCUGUCCUAGGCGGGAGGAGCCGCAUCCUCUGUCUGGUGGCGUGUUGGGGGUUUCCUCGUCUGACGGUGGGACUGGCGGCUGGACUGCACCCACGGUCUCCCGGGACUCGAUGCGGCGCCUGGUCCCGGGUGUGCAGGGGGCAGGGCCUGCUGUUCCCACUCACUGAGCUCCGAGAGCUUGGCCCCUAGUUGGCACUCAGUAAACACCAGUUCCACUUUCCCCUGACGACAAACUGAAGGCAGCCCUGUAUGUUUCCCCUUACUGGGUCAGAACAUUCACUUAUCAUUCUGUCACCUCAUCAGAAACCAGGUAAUGUAAACAUGAACAAAUGCCCCCUUCUUAGAUCCAGAAUAACUGAAAGCAGGGCUUCGGAGAUCCUUGAUGUUCACACCAGCAUUAUUCACCAGAGCCAGACUGUGGAAGUGAGCCAAGUACCCAUCGAGGGAUGAGUGGUCCUUCCACACGCUGGAAUAUUAGUCAGCCUUGAUCUGAACUUGGAGGACACUAUGCGCAGGGAAAUGAGCCAGUCCCCUGGGGGCAAGCACUGUGACUCUCUUGUACGAGGAGGCCCCUGGAGCCGCCAGACCUGCAGACAGAAAGCAGAAAGGUGGGGCCAGGGACUGGGGUGGAGAGUUGGUGUUCUGUGGGGACAGAGUUUCAGAUUUGUGAGAUGGGAAAGUUGGAAAGGUCUGUUGCAAAAAAUGUGCAAAUACUUAACACUUAAAAAUGAUUAAGGUG